AUCUAUGUAGUUUGGUAGAGCGCCAGACUUUUACUCUUAGUACGGGGAUCUACUCUCGAAAAAGUCCAGUUAUCUGGUGGUCGUGGGUUCGAGCCCCACAUGCGGUG
rnacentral:tRNA from 1 species